rnacentral:rRNA from 1 species
CACGUAGGCGGACUUUUAAGUCAGGGUGAAAUCCCGGAGCUCAACUCCGGAACUGCCUUUGAUACUGGAAGUCUUGAGUCCGAGAGAGGUGAGUGGAACUCCGAGUGUAGAGGUGAAAUUCGUAGAUAUUCGGAAGAACACCAGUGGCGAAGGCGGCUCACUGGCUCGGUACUGACGCUGAGGUGCGAAAGCGUGGGGAGCAAACA